rnacentral:lncRNA from 1 species
GACUACAGUUAGGGGGUACCUGGCAUCCGGGCCCGCACCCUACUUCCCAGCAGGGUGUCACGCUCCCCUGAAGACUGGAUAACUGUCAUGGAGGAUUCACAGUCGGAUAUGAGCAUCGAGCUCCCUCUGAGUCAGGAGACAUUUUCAUGCUUAUGGAAACUGUGAGUGGAUCUUACAGGGCCCCUGAGGUGCUAUCCCCCAGCUGAGGCCUGUGAGAAACAAAACUAAUAGUGUUAAAGCACGGUGUGCUAUUGGGUGCCUCUGAUCCCUGCACUUGGGAGGUGGAGGGAAGGGUAUCACACAGAAGUCUAAGAUCAUCCUUGACUAUAUAGCAAGUUUGUGGCUAGCCUGGGGUAAGUGAGAUUCUGUCUCCAAAGAACGGAAGGAAAUCAGCGGAACUAAUUCUCUGCUCUUGUUCUCCAGUCUUCCUCCAGAUGAUAUUCUGCCCACCACAGCGACAGGGUCACCUAAUUCCAUGGAAGAUCUGUUCCUGCCCCAGGAUGUUGCAGAGUUGUUAGAAGGCCCAGAGGAAGCCCUCCAAGUGUCAGCUCCUGCAGCACAGGAACCUGGAACUGAGGCCCCUGCACCCGUGGCCCCUGCUUCAGCUACACCGUGGCCUCUGUCAUCUUCCGUCCCUUCUCAAAAAACUUACCAAGGCAACUAUGGCUUCCACCUGGGCUUCCUGCAGUCAGGGACAGCCAAGUCUGUUAUGUGCACGGUCAGUGGGCCUGAAGAGUUGCUUUUCGUCUGACUUUAAAUGCCUCUGUCUAGAUUUUGGGGUUCCUCUUUAGCCUGUGGACUUUGACUAUGCCUCAGAGUUUAAUUUCUCCCUGAACCUUUCUUAGCCUUUUAUCCUUCCUCUCAUAUUCUCCGCAUCUCUCCAGGGGACAUGGAACUUUCUUCCCUCACAUUCCUUUCUUGGCUUUUGAAAAUAAUCUUCUGAAGCCAGGCACAGAGGCAUGUGCUGUAGUCCCAGCUGCUAGAGACAUUGAGGCAGGAUUGCUUAAGGCCAGCCUGAGCAUUAAAGCAAGACCCCUCCUCACCAGAACCAAAGCAGAGCCCAGUGGGGUGACCCACCCAUAUCUCCAGCACUGGGCAGGCUAGGGCAGGAGAAACAAGAGUUCAAGGCCAUCCUUGACUACACAGUAAGAUGGCCUCUCUGAAAAAGAGAAGGCAGGUGUGGUGGCCAUCUCUGGGGUUGAGGACAGUCAGGGCUAUAUAGAGAAACUGUCU